UUAAGUUACCUUAUUGUUAAAAAAGAAAAGAAAAAAAACUUUGAGAGAUUAUUACCCAUAGUUGGGUGACCUUCUAUGUUACUACCUCAUCAUUUUCCUCUCCCUUUAUAUUUUUAAAACAAAUUGUUUUGUCCGCAGAUUCUAACUUAUACUUGCAAUUUAAAUAGAGUAAAAAGCAAGUUUUGAAUUUUGAAUAUGAUUGAGUAUCAAAAUAAAAAAAAGGAAAAGAAUGUAUAUGAUUAGUGAUUGUUAAUAAUUGAUUUAAUUAUCUUAAUUGUCGAAUCAGAGACAACUCAACGAAUAUCUCCUAAAUGAAUGCCACUCGUCUUUUUCUCCAGAAUUACAGUUUAAGAAAAGAAGAAAGAUUUAUCCUUUUCUUUCUGACUGUAAAAAGAUUUAUCCUUUGUUCGCAAGAUAUGUUCUGUACCAUUAACCGAUCUUUGUUUUUUCAUUUUACAUCAAUAUCAUAAUAAAAUACAUUUAGCCGCUGAAGCCGCCAUUAUUGCUUCCCUGUCCCACCAUCCACCAGAGCAUUUCACUAACAACGCUUUUUUUUUUUUUGGCCCCUAACCAUUCUUUCUUGAUUUUUCAAGCUGCAGAUCUAUACACAGUUCCCCUUCUUGAUUUAACUAAACCUUUCAUAUUUCUUGGCACUCUUUCAUAUUUUUUUUCUCCAGAUUGCAUCGAUAAGGGUUUCCUGAUGUCCUGAAGUUGGUGUACAUCCAAUCAAAGUUAAAAGGCCAAG